rnacentral:ncRNA from 2 species
AGCAGCCGCGGUAAUUCCAGCUCCAAUAGCGUAUAUUAAAGUUGUUGCAGUUAAAAAGCUCGUAGUUGAACUUCGGGGUUUACUCAUUGGUCAGGCUUAAUUGUCUGUACUGGUGAGAUGAAUCUCUACCUUCUGAGGAACUUUCAUGCCAUUUAUUUGGUGUGGUUGGAAAUCAGGACUGUUACUUUGAAAAAUUAGAGUGUUUAAAGCAGGCUAACGUCUGAAUACAUUAGCAUGGAAUAAUGAAAUAGGACGGAUUGAUUCUAUUUCGUUGGUUUCUAGGGUCACCGUAAUGAUUAAUAGGGAUAGUUGGGGGCAUUAGUAUUCAAUUGUCAGAGGUGAAAUUCUUGGAUUUAUUGAAGACUAACUACUGCGAAAGCAUUUGCCAAGGAUGUUUUCAUUAAUCAAGAACGAAAGUUAGGGGAUCGAAGACGAUCAGAUACCGUCGUAGUCUUAACCAUAAACUAUGCCGACUAGGGAUCGGACGCAGUUAAUUUUAUAAUGACGUGUUCGGCACCUU